UCUGGUAUGACUACUGACGUUCUGUUGUCCCACCUGCAUCAAAAGGAAAUAGACCAAUUCAGUUACCUUAACCGAAACUAGAUUAACUUAUUAUUUGUGACGGUAAUUUUUUGCAAGUGAAAGCAAGUUACUUCGAUUUGUUCACUGGAUAAAGCAAUAUGGGACCAUUGUUGCUAUCUUUCAGGAUCUUGCCAAAGACUUCCUUAGCAAAUCUGCGGAUGGAGCUCCUCGGUAUUAGAAGAUUCAGCCAAGGAUGUGGAACUUCUCCAAGCUCACCUUCUGGACGAAUGACAAAUAUGAAAUGAGGUUGAGAUAUUACAAGAGCAGCUUUUUCCACGAGACUGGCUGUUGACGGGCCAGUUGUGAAACUACUGAUGUCAUAAAGGAGUAAUGCAUGUGCCUUCUUAGCUCCUAUUCAAUGUUCUGCGUGCAAUGCAUAAAAGAGAGUUGGAUGAAAAGGUUCGUGAUGCACUUCAUCUUUACAUUGAAGCCCGCGGCAUAAAUGAGAAGCUCUUCCGUUUUCUCCAAGCUUGGCUUCAUGUAAAGGAUCACCGCAAUCUUGUACGCUGGUUCAAGAGCGUUGGUUCAUUCAUCAGUGACCAAAGCCAAAGCAAGGUACAUUGCUGUCUUUGCGCAAAGUCGCGCCAGCGAGGAGUUUUGGUUUAUCUUUAGUUUUUAUUUGCCGGGGAAUCAGUGGUCUGGUGGUUGAAUUAGUUAUCAUUAGUCCUUGUGAUCUGCUACCCUAUCAUGCUGAGGUGCUUGUCACAUUCUCAAUUAUUCAAACUCCACAUUUUCCAUCGAAGCGCAAGAAGCACGUAUUGAGAGGCCCUUUUUUUAUCUC